rnacentral:misc_RNA from 1 species
GAUGAAGAACGUAGUAAAAUGCGAUACUUGGUGUGAAUUGCAGAAUCCCAUGAACCAUCGAGUUUUUGAACGCAAGUUGCGCCCGAAGCCUUUUGGCCGAGGGCACGUCUGCCUGGGCGUCACGCAUCGCGUCGCCCCCCACAAUUCUCCGUAAAAGGAACAUGUGUUUUGGGGGCGGAUAUUGGUCUCCCGUGCUCAUGGCGUGGUUGGCCGAAAUAGGAGUCCUUUCGAUGGACGCACGAACUAGUGGUGGUCGUAAAAACCCUCGUCUUUUGUUUCGUGCUGUUGCUCGCAAGGUAAACUCUUUAAAAACCCCAAUGUGUCGUCUCUUGACGACGCUUCGACCGCGACCCCAGGUCAGGCGGGACUACCCGCUGAGUUUAAGCAUAUCAAUAAGCGGAGGA